UGGAGGAAACUCUGACGCAGCCACGCCGCGUGCCGGAAGACGGCCCUAUGGGUUGUAAACGGCUUUUGUUCGGGAAGAAAGUAUGGGUUUUGAUCUGUAUUGACGGUACCGAUUGAAUAAGCACCGGCUAACUCCGUGCCAGCAGCCGCGGUAAUACGGAGGGUGCAAGCGUUGUCCGGAAUCAUUGGGUGUAAAGGGUGCGUAGGCUGGUGUCUAAGUCUGGGGUGAAAUUUUGCCGCUUAACGGUAACAUGGCCUUGGAUACUGGAUGCCUUGAAUCUGACAGAGGUCGGUGGAAUUCGUAGUGUAGCGGUGAAAUGCAUAGAUAUUACGAAGAACACCAGUGGCGAAGGCGGCCGGCUGGGUCAGUAUUGACGCUGAGGCACGAGAGCGUGGGGAGCGAACAGGAUUAGAUACCCUGGUAGUCCACGCUGUAAACGAUGUAUGCUAGUUGUUGGGCCUUUGGGUUCAGUGACGCAGUUAACGCAGUAAGCAUACCACCUGGGGAGUACGUUCGCAAGAAUGAAACUCAAAGGAAUUGACGGGGGCCCGCACAAGCGGUGGAGCAUGUGGCUUAAUUCGAUGCAACGCGAAGAACCUUACCCGGGCUAAAUCCUGAUUUGAUACCCCGAAACGGGUAGUUCUCUUCGGAGCGGUCAGGAAGGUGCUGCAUGGCUGUCGUCAGCUCGUGCCGUGAGGUGUUGCCUUAAGUGGCGCAACGAGCGCAACCCCUAUGGUUAGUUACCAGCACGUAAUGGUGGGGACUCUAGCCAGACUGCCUACGCAAGUAGUGAGGAAGGUGGGGACGACGUCAAGUCAUCAUGGCCCUUAUGUCCGGGGCUGCACACGUGCUACAAUGGACGGUACAGAGGGAAGCCACCCAGCGAUGGGGCGCAGAUCUCGAAAGCCGUUCCCAGUUCG
rnacentral:rRNA from 1 species